rnacentral:lncRNA from 1 species
GAAUUUUACUUCAUAGUAAGAUUGUAAACCCACAUUAGUUGGUCCACAUAGUACAAAACUUAUCUUACAUAUAUAUCAUAUCAAUAAUACACUGCCUUAUAAGUAAUGUAUCACUCUUUGAUUUUGAUAUAAGAUAUAAAUUGGUAAAUAUGUAUUGUUGUUACAAACCUCUAGCUAGAGUCUAUAUAUCUAGCUAAUGAGAAAGAAAAGGAAAGAAAAAAAGCGAGACAGUAUACCUACAAAACGGAGCGGGUUGAAAAAGAGGAAGUGGACAAUGAGGGGGAUGCAAAGUUUGAAAGGCACAUCAAAAGUGGUGGGAGCAAAAGUUUGUCGUCAAGCAAUUGGAAUGUAAUGGCAUGCAUACACCAAAGCUGAAGAUGCUACGACGUUUAGGAUUUGGAUUUACAUUGUGUUUUUUCCUCUGCUUCGGUAUCUGCGAAGUUUUCGAUAAUGCUCUGAUUUGGUGACAAGCCCAAUUAGAUAGAUGGUUAAUUAUAAUUAUAAGU